CGAAGGAUGCAAGCGUUAUCCGGAUUCAUUGGGUUUAAAGGGAGCGUAGGUGGACUGAUAAGUCAGUGGUGAAAUCUUUGGGCUUAACCCAAAAAUUGCCAUUGAUACUGUUGGUCUUGAGUACAGUUGCUGUGGGCGGAAUAUGACAUGUAGUGGUGAAAUACAUAGAGAUGUCAUAGAACACCGAUUGCGAAGGCAGCUCACAAAGCUGUAACUGACACUGAGGCUCGAAAGUGCGGGGAUCAAACAGGAUUAGAUACCCUGGUAGUCCGCACUGUAAACGAUGAUUACUCGCUGCUAGAUGGCAACAUUUAGUGGCUUAGCGAAAGCGAUAAGUAAUCCACCUGGGGAGUACGCCGGCAACGGUG
rnacentral:rRNA from 1 species